UACAGAGGGUGCAAGCGUUGUUCGGAAUUACUGGGCGUAAAGCGCACGCAGGUGGCUGAGUCAGUCGAUUGUGAAAGCCCUGGGCUUAACCUGGGAAUUGCAGUCGAUACUACUUAGCUAGAGUAUGGGAGAGGGCAGUGGAAUUCCCGGUGUAGCGGUGAAAUGCGUAGAUAUCGGGAGGAACAUCAGUGGCGAAGGCGGCUGCCUGGCCCAAUACUGACACUCAGGUGCGACAGCGUGGGUAGCAAACAGG
rnacentral:rRNA from 1 species